UUGAUGAAGUGCUGGAAACUAAAAUUAAUUUUCUUUACAAUUUGGUUUCAGGCUAUCUUUAUAAUUUUUUAUUAGUUUUGCGUUUGUUUAGAGUCCGCAAGCUCGUAGCUGAUUUCCUCCUUUAGAUACCGCCUGUCGACGGUUUGACAGCCUCACACAAUUGAACGUAUGCCAAAAAGCCAAAGUGAGCUCUUCCGAUCAGAAAAGUGACGGCGUAUCCAUUUAAUUGAAAAUAGGCACAAGAUAACGCACAAUUGGCGUUCUUGCCUCAAUGGAGAAAUUUUUCCGUGGAACUUAUGACCGAAAUACCAUUGCAGCUGUUCAAAAAAAAAAGAAAAGUGUAUUAUCAUGCAGAUGUUGACUAGCUAACAAUCCAGAGAUACGUCAACUUGCGAAAUUUCUAGAUGUGUGUGAAGCGCAAUCAGCAUCCUUGUUGAACUGUGAACCCAAAUCAUGUAUUUUCCUAGAAAUAUCUAGGUUUUUGGAUAAAUAAAUAAAAGUCAGUGAAAAAAUGUGA